rnacentral:rRNA from 1 species
GAUGAACGCUGGCGGCGUGCCUAAUACAUGCAAGUCGAGCGAACGGACGAGAAGCUUGCUUCUCUGAUGUUAGCGGCGGACGGGUGAGUAACACGUGGAUAACCUACCUAUAAGACUGGGAUAACUUCGGGAAACCGUAGCUAAUACCGGAUAAUAUUUUGAACCGCAUGGUUCAAAAGUGAAAGACGGUCUUGCUGUCACUUAUAGAUGGAUCCGCGCUGCAUUAGCUAGUUGGUAAGGUAACGGCUUACCAAGGCAACGAUGCAUAGCCGACCUGAGAGGGUGAUCGGCCACACUGGAACUGAGACACGGUCCAGACUCCUACGUGAGGCAGCAGUAGGGAAUCUUCCGCAAUGGGCGAAAGCCUGACGGAGCAACGCCACGUGAGUGAUGAAGGUCUUCGGAUCGUAAAACUCUGUUAUUAGGGAAGAACAUAUGUGUAAGUAACUGUGCACAUCUUGACGGUACCUAAUCAGAAAGCCACGGCUAACUACGUG